UAACCUGCCCAAGAGAUCGGGAUAACACCUGGAAACAGAUGCUAAUACCGGAUAACAACAGAUGAUGCCUAUCAACUGUUUAAAAGAUGGUUCUGCUAUCACUNUUGGAUGGACCUGCGGUGCAUUAGCUAGUUGGUAGGGUAACGGCCUACCAAGGCGAUGAUGCAUAGCCGAGUUGAGAGACUGAUCGGCCACAUUGGGACUGAGACACGGCCCAAACUCCUACGGGAGGCAGCAGC
rnacentral:rRNA from 1 species